rnacentral:lncRNA from 12 species
AGGAGGAAGCGGUUGGCUUGCUCUGACCUGGCUAGCUCCCUCCCCCCAAGACACACACAGGCAGAUCUGGAACGCCACGGAGAAGGAAGGCCAGUCUGUGUCCCCGAGUCCUGCCCAGGGCAGUUGGGAGCCACGACGGAGCCCACGGAGCCCGGGCACUGGGGUCGGUGCUUGCCCCCGCCGCAGGCACCCAGGAAGUCCACAGGCCCGGGACUGAGCGUCCCCAGGAAAACUCUGGAAACACAGCCUGCCAAAGACCUCUCGCGUCCUGGUUUCCUCUUGGGGCAAGAAAGGAAGGAAAGGAAGGAGAAAGGAAGGAGACAGGAGAAACGAAAGCGAAAUGAUGGAGGGAAGGAGGGAAGGAAAGAAACCUGGUGCAAGUGUGAAAUCAAAAUAAUAGACUCAGGAUGGUGGUCAAGCGUUGCCUGCCCGCGUGGGUGCUAAGACCUCGAGGGUGUCUCCCACCCGACCCCGCGAGGCCCCUCGUUGUCCUCUUGGUCUGUCACCCUCUAGCCCAGGUCAUAUCUCCUCCGUGCUCUGCACAUGUCCGUGUAUGUAUCACAGGAGGUUUGAAUGGCAGUCAGGACUGGCAAAAGUUGGACUUUCAUUGUGAGCUGAGGAAGGAGGCUGGGGAAGGAAAUGGGAAGAAAGUGGAUAUGCUGAUAGGCAGGCUGGUGCUUCUCCAGGUAAGUCUACCUGCCCUGGCCCCAAGCAGUCCCCUGGGUUUAGCUGGGCCUGCAGGCUCCCAGGAUACAGCAGAACUAACAGCCUGGAACACCAAGUAUCUGGGCAGAUCAGAUCGUCUGCCUAGAGGGGAGCAAUACAGCAGGAAGAGCCCAGCUCCAGUCUCUGUUCUACCCCCUUCCUAACAGAGUUAACUAGUCCAAGCCUCCUGACAUCCCAGAGCCUCAGUUCUUCAUCUGUGAGGUGGGGAUCAAUCAGACAAGAACCAAAGUCAAAGUCAAAUAUGAUUGUUAAUCUACUUACCUGUGCUCAGUAGAUGGUCAUUGAGACUGGUUAUAAACAGAUUUCUAUCGGGGAGUAUCUCAUACUGCCAGGAAAUAAGCAAAGACCAUUCAGAAAAAUGAAGUGUCUUUGUUUUUUUCAGUAAACACCUCCCCAUCAGAACAAAACAAGCCUGCAAGGCAUGCUGAAAAACUUGCCAUGAUAGCAAGGGUUUGGAGGAAGGAUAAGAAAAGAGAUCUCCUGUAGGAUUAUACUAGAAGAACCAGAACCUCAAAUUUCUUAAAUGCUCCAAAAUUUGUGCUAUGGCCUAUUAUAUAGAAAUUCUUACAGCUAAGAUCCAAUAUAUAUUUUCCAGAUGACACACACUAGUAGAAUCAAAUUGUGUGUGUGUGUGGGGGGGGGGGGCAGUGAUUUUGGAACUAUGUCCGUCUGUCAGUCAUCUAUUUAUGAACAAUCUAUACUUCUCCCUUCUUUGGCUUCAUUUUUCUUAUAUAUGCACAUAUACGUGGUUUCGUGCAACAAAUGGUCAUAUGACUAGGGGUGAGGGUGUAAUGGAAAAACAAAAGCUCAAAUUUUGAAGAGACAUAUUCCUGGAACAAUCCAUGGCUCUGCCUUGUAUUAUCCAAGUGGCAUGUCAGAGAAAACCUUUAGGCUGAAAAGAAGAUGAUACCUG